rnacentral:lncRNA from 1 species
AUUGCUUAGUUCUUGCUUAAUUUCUCCAUUUUAUGGUGGGUCUUUGAUUGCAGGUUUAGCUCUGCGCGAGAACUGGGAAAUUUAAUUGUGACCUCCAAUCUAAUCGACUCUGCUUUGACUAAAAUUCUUGAGCUUCAAAGAGACCAAACAGCCUUGCCUUCCCCCGUUCAAUACAGAGUUUUUUAUCCAUCUCCCAAGUGCACAAUUGUAGCUUUUGUCUCUUCACCUGACUGCACUCAAAACCCUCUUCCUGGACAAGGAGAUUUAGUUCCCUCUCCUCUCUUUGACUUCCUCUGCACCGAAGAAUACCCUUCCGUCUCCAUUAACGGAGCCGCAUUAACCCUCUUUACCUCUCUCUACGAUCAUCUCUCUGGACUAAUAGAUGAGGUCAAAAUCUGAUACUUGUUUUAAUUUACGUUAACUUUUCGUUAACAAUUGUGAGACACGAAACAGCUUGACCAUGAGAUCUCCCUCAUGGAGUCAAAACCCGUGUUGGUAUCUGUUUUUAGAUCAACUUAUAUAUAUAUAUAUAUAUAUAUAUAUAUAUCUUGUGGAUAAAAGGAAAGUUUACAAGUGAGAAUAGUGGCAUUUUUCUGACAGAUUUCACACCGUUGCUUGUUUUGCAGUUGACUGUGAUUGAAGGUCGAUUAAUCAUCACUGGGCACUCGAUGGGAGGAUCCGUUGCUUCUCUCUUCACCUUAUGCCUGCUAGAAGUCAUUAAUAUAUCAAAACCCAAAUGCCGCCCCAUUUGCAUCACCUUUGGUUCACCCCUCAUAGGCGACUUUGGCCUCCAACACUCCAAUUGGAAUUCUUUCUUCUUGCAUGUAGUGUCCAACCAAGAUCUAGUCCCCGGACUCUUCCUCCCAUCCGGCAGAUCUCCUCCCACAUCCUCCCAUUCACAAACUACUGGUUACAAGCCCUUUGGGACAUAUCUCUUGUGCUCUGAACUUGGUUGUGCUUGUUUUGACAACCCUGAUUUAAUUUUGGAAUUGCUGAAAGUCAUAUCAUCAGAGGUUGCCGGAGGAUUGCGGGAUGUUGAUUACAGGAAGAUUUUAAUAAACCUCAAGGAGAGGGCAAUCUUCAAGGGACUUCAGCAGGUGGGUGAAAGGUUUGCAGAUCCCUUGUCAGCUGGGAUCGUCAUGGACCUUGAGAUAAUUGGAUUUGAUCAAACAAAGGUAAACAGCUUUCUCCCAAUUAAUGAUGUAGUAUGGUUUACACUCAACUUCACCAAAACCUGCAACAACUGCCCUAUUUAGAUUUGCCUUCCUGUUCUUUGGGUUCUUCUAUAACUUCUCAUUUUUUAAAUUCAUGGCAGCUGUUGCGGCACAACAUUGAUAUCAACACUGUGAUAAGGAUACUGGGAGUGGAAGCCAGAAUCCUAGCCCACAAAAAUAAAGCUUCUGAUGCCAAGAAACUGAAUGACAUAAAAAUACACAUGGCCCAGCUAGAAUGGUAUAAGAAGAAAUCAAAAGAUCUGAACAAGGGUUACUACGACUGCUUCAAAAACCAGGGGUCAAAAAGGGACAUUAAAAUUGAACAGUAUAGGGGACACCUCACAAUAUACUGGAAAGACAUGGUUGCACAAGUACAGAGGAAGCCCCAGAAGGAAGGAGCAUCAUUUCGAACCAGUUGGCUCUAUCCAGGGACAACUUAUAGAAGAAUGGUUGAACCACUGGACAUUGCUGCCUUCUACAGAGAGGGUAGAACAGACUACAUAAACAAUGGAAGAUCUCCUCAUUACAAGCUGUUGCAGCAAUGGUAUGAGGAAGAUGUGAAGCCCCCAUCCAGAGAUAAGCUCGAUUCCAAGAAACUAAAGGUGUCUGGUAUCCUAACUGAGGAUUCUUUGUUUUGGGCACAUGUGGAGGAGGCUCUCUUGUCAUGCGAAUCGCUCAAGAGUGCAAACUCUACUCUUGAGCAGAGAAAAUCAUCAUGGGAUAAUCUGGUUAAGUUUGGGGAGUAUGUAAUGGAACAGAUUGGAAACUAUGCAGUGUCCCCUGAGAUUUUCUUGGGGGAAAGCAGCUUCAUGAAAUGGUGGGGAGUGUAUGAGGACUACAUAGAUGCUUCCAAUAAUUCCUAUGGGUCACCAUUGAUCAGCUUUAUGAAGAACCGUAGUUAUAGACUGUAUGGUUAGAGGGCAAUCCAGUUUGUGUAUUGUGUUUAUUGUAUUGUGAGCAUUCAAUAGAUAAAACUAGAAAGAGCGUGACCUUUUUAUGACAACUUUAGAAACCAGGGGUUAAAAGAGACAUUACAAACUGAAGUUUUUGAGAGGAAACCUCAAGAGUAUACUGGGAAGCCAUGGUGGAACAAGUAGAGAGGAAGCCUCAGAAGGAAGGAGCAAUGGUUGAACCACUUGACAUUGUUGCCUACUACAGGGAGGGUGUAAGAAACAACAUAACCGAGGGAAGAUCUGAACGUUAAACGUUGUCCAAUUAUUAUAAAUGUCUUAUACAUUACGUGUGAAAAUACCAAAAAAAAUUAUAUUCAACAUUUAUGUUUGUAUACAAGCAAUAUUUUGGAUAGUUUGAUAUAAAAAACAAAUGAAGAAAAUGAAGAAAAACAUACAAAUAUAUUUACAAUGGACAAACUUAUACAAUUAGUAUAAAUGUCUUGUAUAUUUAGUACAAAUGUCUCGUACUUUGUAAAAAUAUAAAAAUAUAGUAUUUGACUUUUAUAUAUGUGUGAAAAUGUAAAAAGAAAAAGAAAAAUAGUUAGAGCAUUUGGUACCGUGAGUGAUGACUUCACCUAAAGAAAGGUUAAUGAAUAUUAUGGUCUCGAUGGAAGAGCGACUCCGGUAAAAUAUAUGGAUUAAAUUGAUGCUUUUCUUUUGACGAUGAAGUAGUUGAGUUAUGAAUACGAGGUUUUGCUAACAGCAUUGAAGGCAAGGAUUCCCUAAUAUACUCCAAUUCAUAUUCAAUUUGUAGACCUUCAACUAACUACUCUUGCUAACGAGCAUAUCCAAGUCAAUACAUAAGAUUAAUUAAGAUUAAGUAUUACGUAUGAUAAUUGAAACCCUAUUUAAAUAAAUAAUGACACAUAUAUAAAAAAUAUAUAUAUUUUUAAAAAAAUAAAUAACAAUUUAGAGAAUUUCAUAACUUAGCAUCAAACCUAUUGUAAGAAAGAGUAUUAUACAAUGUAGGGUUUAGGAUCCAAGUCAACCUAAGAUCAAAUUUAAGUUUUAAGAUCAAUUCACAUUCAAAACUAAGGUUUUAAGUUUCAAAAAUAUAUUUCUUAAACCAAUUAAAUGGAAAAAAGAAAAUUACAAAGAAAAUUUCUCCCUCAUCAGUUUCUUUUAUCUUGAAAACUAAAGGAAAUAUAUAUCAAUAUUUGAGAUGGAAAUUCAUAAUCUUAGGUGGUGUUUGUUUUUUUGGCUUUUUGCUGAAAACUAUUUAGUUUUAGAAUUUAGGUUUUUUUUUUUUUUUACUUUUUCAUGACUUAUAAUAAACUUUUUACUAAAUAGAAAAAACCAAAAUAUGUGGUUUUUUCUAAAUAGAAAAAAUAACACAAUGGUUUUUUUUACUUUUUAAUACUUAAUAGAAAUAAAAUACUACAAAAACAAACAUCUUAAUAUUUAAUACUAUUAAGUAUUAAGGUUCUAUUUAGAAUUAAGUAAAAAAACAAACACCACCUUAGAAACACAAAGAACAAAGAGAGUAUGAAGAGACCAUACCAUGAGAGAUUUUCCGAAAGGUUGGUAAACCAUGGUAAUCACCUUUGAGUCUUGCUGAGAAAAACAAACCUUAUUUAUUUUUAUUUUUUUAUCAUUUUUUCUCUUGUGUGGUGUACAUUUAAGAAAAACAAAUCUCAAAAAAAAAAAAAAACACAAACCAAAUAAUGCCAGAAUUUGGGUUGAGAAACACCCAAAAGAUAGUGGCCCAAUACAUGUGCCUAAGAAAAUCUUCAUGAGCCGAUAAACAUAGUCACAAAACUAGUAACAGCCUUGUAGCCAUAGUUGGUGUAGUAUGAGCAAGUGGGGUAUGAAGUAGGUAGGUGAGUAUUGCAAUGAAAUUUCCAGCACUGCUUCCUGAAUUAAGAAAUCACAUACCCAAGUCUUAGUCGUCGUCGUCGUCGUACCGUGUGAGAACCGGGAAGAAUCUUUGCUCGUAGACUGGCUUUUGUAGUCUUUCUUUAACAAUUACAAGUUAUCUGAAUUCCCUUCAUCCUCCUAUAUAAUAUUGUUUUGGUCUUGUUCUUGUUGCAUUGUGGCUAGGCAUCUCCAUGGAAGGAAGGAGGAUGAAUCAAGUUCCUUUGUAUGAAUCAAUUUCUCUGCUCUUUUUUUUUUUCAAUCCUUGAAUCGAAUCAUUGCUUAGUUCUUGCUUUAAUUUCUCCAUUUUCUGUUGGGUCUUUGAUUGCAGGUUUAGCUCUGCAAGAGAACUGGGAAAUUUAAUUGUGACCUCCAAUCUAAUCGACUCUGCUUUGACUAAAAUUCUUGAGCUUCAAAGAGACCAAACAGCCUUGCUUUCCCCCGUUCAAUACAGAGUUUUUUUAUCCAUCUCCCAACUGCACAAUUGUAGCUUUUGUCUCUUCACCUGACUGCACUCAAAACCCUCUUCCUGGACAAGGAGAUUUAGUUCCCUCUCCUCUCUUUGACUUCCUCUGCACCGAAGAAUACAAGUCCGUCUCCAUUAACAGAGCUGCAUUAACCCUCUUUACCUCUCUCCACGAUCAUCUCUCUGGACUAAAAACUCAGGUCAAAAUAUGAUAGUUGUUUUUAUUUUCGUUUCCUUUUUGUUAACAAUUGUGAGACAUGAAACAGCUUGACCAUGAGAUCUCUCUCAUAGAGUCAAACUACCUGAAGAAGAAGAAGACGUUACACAUAUCCAUCUGCGUUGCAUCAUCGCAUUACCCAUUGAUCGGUUGUGAUUCAACUCUUAAUAGGAAGACAGUAGAACUGGUGUUGGUAUCUGUUUUUAGAUCAGCUUAUAUGUAUCUUGUUGCUAAAAAGGGAAUGUUUAGAAGUGAGAUUAAUGGGAUUAUUCUGACAUGGAUUUCAUAUGGUUACCUGUUUUGCAGUUGACUGUGAUUGAAGGUCAAUUAAUCAUCACUGGGCACUCCCUGGGAGGAGCCGUUGCUUCUCUCUUCACCUUAUGCCUGCUAGAUGAAAAUUUAUUAAAACCCAAAUGCCGCCCCUUUUGUAUCACCUUUGGUUCACCCCUCGUCGGCGGCUUUGGCCUCCAACACUCCAUAUGGAAUUCUUUCUUCCUGCAUGUAGUGUCUAACCAAGACCCAGUCCCCGGUCUCUUCCUCCCAUCUGGCAGAGGCAGAUCUACGCCCACAUCCUCCCAUUCACAAACUACCGGUUACAAGCCCUUUGGGACAUAUCUCUUGUGCUCUGAACUUGGUUGUGCUUGUUUUGACAACCCUGAUUUAAUUUUGGAAUUGCUGAAAGUCAUAUCAUCAGAGGUUGCCGGAGGAUUGCAGGAUGUUGAUUAUGGGGAGAUUUUAAGAAACCUCAAGGAGAGGGCAAUCUGCAAGGGACUUCCGCAGGUGGGUGAAAGGUUUGCAAAUCCAUUUUCAGCUGGGAUCAUCAUGGAACUUGAGACAAUUGGAUUUAAUCAAACAAAGGUAAACAGCUUUCUCCCAUCUAAUGAUGUUAUGGAACAUGGUUUACACCUCAUUAAAUACUGCAACAACUGCCCUAUUUAGAUUUACCUUCUUGUUCUUUGGGAUUUUCCAUAACUAGACUCAUUUUUUAAUUUCAUGGCAGCUGCUGCAGCAUAACAUUGAUAUCGAGACUGUGAUAAGCGCAAUGGAAGCGGAAGCAAGAAACCUAACCCAGAAAAAUAAAGCUUCCGAUGCCAAGAAACUGAAUGAAAUAAAAAUAGACAUGACCCGGCUAGAAUUGUAUAAGAAGAAUUCGAACAUGGGUUACUACGAUUGCUUCAAAAACCAGGGGUCUAAAAGGGACAUCCACGUUGAACAGUUUAGGGUAAACCUCACAGGGUACUGGGAAGGCAUGGUUGCACAAAUACAGAGGAAGCCUCAUAAGGAAGGAGCAACAUUUCGAACCCGUUGGCUCUAUGCAGGGACGGUUUAUAGAAGAAUGGUUGAACCACUGGACAUUGCUGCCUUCUACAGAGAGGGUAGAAAAGACUACAUGAAUAAAAGAUCUGCACAUUACAAGCUGUUGCAGGAAUGGUAUGAGGAAGAUGUGAAACCCCCCUCUAGAGAUAAGCUUGAUUCCAAGAAGCAAAAGGUGUCCAGUAUCCUAACUGAGGAUUCUUGCUUUUGGGCACAUGUGGAGGAGGCUAUCUUGUCAUGCGAAUUGCUCAAGAGUGAAAACUGUAAUCUUGAGGAGGGAAAAUCAUCAUGGGAUAAUCUGGUUAAGUUCGAGGAGUAUGUAAUGGAACAGAUUGACAACUAUGCAGUGUCCCCUGAGAUUUUCUUGGAGAAAAGCAGCUUCAUGAAAUGGAGGGGACUGUAUGAGGGCUACAUAGAUACUCGCAGUAAUUCCCAUAGCUCGCCAUUGAUCAGCUUUAUGAAGAAUCGUAGUUAUAGACAAUAUGGAUAGAGGGGUAAUCCAGUUUGUGUGUUGUGUGUAUUGUUUUGUGAGCAUUCAAUGGAUAGAACUAGAAAGAGUGUGACCUUUUCCUUUUUUUUUUCAGUUGCUGCCCAUAUUCUCAGCACUAUUUUCUUCCUUCUUUUCCUCAGUUUUUUUGUUAAGAAAUGAAUAUUAUGAUGUUGCCGGGAUGCACUUUCAUUUUUGUUCCAUUACAUUGUGUUUUAUUCAUAUCCUAAACAAAUAAAUGUAAACAAGAAAAUCAAAUGAGACUUCAAAGAGUCUGUUCCUUUUAAAGCAAGGGAAAAAAAGGACAUGUUUGUUUACUUCCACAGCUGGGUAGAUUCAACUCCACCAAAAUUGGCAACAACUUCCCAUUGAAAAAUUCCUUUUAAGCUUGAAUGACAUAAAACUAGAUAUGUUCCAGCUAGAAUGGUACAAGAAAGAAAUCAAAAGAUGAGCACAAUGGGUUAUUAUGACAGCUUUAGAAACCUGGGGUGUAAAAGAGACAUUAAAAUGGAACCGAGGGGAAGACAUUGUAGAACAAGUAAAGAGGAAGCCUCACCAGGAAGGGCAGCUUUGCAAACCCUCUGGCUCUGUACAGGAACGAAUUAUAGAAAGAUGGUUGAACCACUUGACAUUGCUGCCUACCACAGAGAGGGUGGAAGAAACUACAUAACCAAUGGAGGAUGUAAACAUUACACGCUAUUAGAGCAAUGAUGCAAUGAAGAGAAGGGGACUUUGUCUUCCAAUAAUUUAAGAAAAUAAAACCAAAUAAUGCCAGAAUUUGGGUUGAGAAACACCCAAAAGAUAGUGGCCCAAUAUGAAGUAGUCACAAAACUAGUAACAGCCUUGUGGCCAUAGUUGGUGUAGUAUGAGCAAGUGGGGUAUGAAGUAGGUAGGUGAGUAUUGCAAUGAAAUUUCCAGCACUGCUUCCUGAAUUAAGAAAUCACAUACUCAAGUCUUAAUCGUUGUCAUCAUACCGUGUGAGAACCGAGGAAGAAUCUUUGCUCUUAGACUGGAUUUUGUAGUCUUUCUUUAACAAUUACAAGUUAUCUGAAUUCCCUUCAUCCUCCUAUAUAAUAUUGUUUUUGGUCUUGUUCUUGUUGCAUUGUGGCUAGGCAUCUCCAUGGGAGGAAGGAGGAUGAAUCAAGUUCCUUUGUAUGAAUCAAUUUCUCUGCUCUUUUUUUUUUCAAUCCUUGAAUCGAAUCAUUGCUUAGUUCUUGCUUUAAUUUCUCCAUUUUCUGUUGGGUCUUUGAUUGCAGGUUUAGCUCUGCAAGAAAACUGGGAAAUUUAAUUGUGACCUCCAAUCUAAUCGACUCUGCUUUGACUAAAAUUCUUGAGCUUCAAAGAGACCAAACAGCCUUGCCUUCCCCCGUUCAAUACAGAGUUUUUUAUCCAUCUCCCAACUGCACAAUUGUAGCUUUUGUCUCUUCACCUGACUGCACUCAAAACCCUCUUCCUGGACAAGGAGAUUUAGUUCCCUCUCCUCUCUUUGACUUCCUCUGCACCGAAGAAUACAAGUCCGUCUCCAUUAACAGAGCUGCAUUAACCCUCUUUACCUCUCUCCACGAUCAUCUCUCUGGACUAAAAACUCAGGUCAAAAUAUGAUAGUUGUUUUUAUUUUCGUUUCCUUUUUGUUAACAAUUGGGAGACAUGAAACAGCUUGACCAUGAGAUCUCUCUCAUAGAGUCAAACUACCUGAAGAAGAAGAAGACGUUACACAUAUCCAUCUGCGCUGCAUCAUCGCAUUACCCAUUGAUCGGUUGUGAUUCAACUCUUAAUAGGAAGACAGUAGAACUGGUGUUGGUAUCUGUUUUUAGAUCAGCUUAUAUGUAUCUUGUUGCUAAAAAGGGAAUGUUUAGAAGUGAGAUUAAUGGGAUUAUUCUGACAUGGAUUUCAUAUGGUUACCUGUUUUGCAGUUGACUGUGAUUGAAGGUCGAUUAAUCAUUACUGGGUACUCGAUGGGAGGAUCCGUUGCUUCUCUCUUCACCUUAUGCCUGUUAGAAGUCAUCAAUUUAUCAAAACCCAAAUGCCGCCCCAUUUGUAUCACCUUUGGUUCACCCCUCAUAGGCGACUUUGGCCUCCAACACUCCAAUUGGAAUUCUUUCUUCUUGCAUGUAGUGUCCAACCAAGAUCUAGUCCCCGGACUCUUCCUCCCAUCCGACAGAUCUCCUCCCACAUCCUCCCAUUCACAAACUACUGGUUACAAGCCCUUUGGGACAUAUCUCUUGUGCUCUGAACUUGGUUGUGCUUGUUUUGACAACUCUGAUUUAAUUUUGGAAUUGCUGAAAGUCAUAUCAUCAGAGGUUGCCAGAGGAUUGCGGGAUGUUGAUUACAGGAAGAUUUUAAGAAACCUCAAGGAGAGGGCAAUCUGCAAGGGACUUCCGCAGGUGGGUGAAAGGUUUGCAAAUCCAUUUUCAGCUGGGAUCAUCAUGGAACUUGAGACGAUUGGAUUUAAUGAAACAAAGGUAAACAGCUUUCUCCCAUCUACUGAUGUUAUGGAACAUGGUUUACACAUCAUUAAAUACUGCAACAACUGCCCUAUUUAGAUUUAGGGCAAUGAUGAAAAUAUCAGUAAUCACGGAUAUAUCAGUAUUUCGAUUUUACGGAUAUAUCGGAUAUAUCGGAGAUAUAUCGGUAGAUAUUUUGAAAAAAAAUAUCGGCAAGCUUAAAAUUGUUAAAAACUCAUGAAAAUAUAAGAAAAUCUCAUAAUAAUAUAAUUAAAAGUAUAAUAGACAUUUUAAAGUUAUUUUAUUGAAAAUUUUGAUAUAUGUAUAACAUGAUUUAUCAUAUUUGAUAAUAAUAUCGUAUGCGUCGAUAAAAAUAUGAAUUUUAUAAGUGUACAUUUAUUAUUAAAUUACACCUAAUAUUAUGAUAUCUGAUUAUAAUAUGUCUAAUUUUAAAAUAUAUAUUAGUAUUAAAAUAUGAUCCAUUUAAUUCAAUUGUAUUAAACAAUAUAAAAUAAAUAAUGAUAUAUAUAUAUAUAUAUAUAAUUUUUUAAUAUUUAAUUAAUUAUUAAUGAUAUUAAAAACAUUAUGAAGAAAAUUAUAUAAUUUUUUAAUUUUUGGUAAUUAAUUAAAAGACUUUGCAUUUAAUUAUAAAUUAAUUAUAAUUAAUUUACUCUUUAAAAUAUUCUUAUAUUUUCUUUAUAUAAUGAAUUUAAGUAUAUAUAUAGUUGUUGCAUAUUAUAUAUUAAAGGACAACUUAGCCCAAGUGGUAAGCGAGUGAACCCCAAUGUGAGGCAUUGUAGCACGUGCACUGUAGCAUCACUGUAGCGACUCUGACUUUCGUUGACCCGCAUUGACUACACGAUAUAUCGGAGAAAAAUCACUGAUUUAUCGCCAAAUCACCAAUAAAUCGCCGAUUUCUCGCGAUAAAUACCAAAAUAUAGUGUCGAAACCCUUCGAUACACGAUUUUUCGGCGCAUUUUCUUACUUGGAUUUACCUUUUUGUUCUUUGGGAUCUUCCAUGACUCAUUUUUUAAUGCCAUUUUAUUUUCCUUUUUGUUUCUAAAUUUUUAAAAAAUCGUUUUCACUUCUUUUUUUUAAGAAAAUUUUGGCAAAUUUUGAAAAUAUAAUAUUAGUGUUUUCACUUCUUUCUUUUUUUUUUUUUUCUUUUUUUUUUUAAACUCAAUUUUCUAAAAAAUGAAAAUAGAAAAACAUUGUCUAAACAUGUUUGUAAACUUAAUUUUAUUUUUUUAUAAAUGAAAAAAAAAAUCUAAAUGAGUAAGGCUUUAUUAAUUUUAAUUUUUUUCUUUUCCUUAUAUUUUCUUAUUUUAUUCCAAAUUUUCUUGCAACCAAACAUAAUCUAAAUGUUUACAACUUUUAUUGUAAGGAAUGAAUGACACUACUUUGUGAACUUUUAUGAUAAUAUUUUGAAUCAUAAAUUGUGUUUUUUUUAGUAAUAUCAAUUUUAUUACCAAUGACUUAAUUGUUAAUAACAAAAUAUAAUAUUUAUAAAUAUUUUUAUUCUCAACAGGCUACAAUUUUUACUCUUGUGAUAAAAAAAAUUUUGUCAUAAAUUACACAUUAUGAUGAGUUUUUCUAUUUUCCUUAUCAGCCAAUUCAACAAAUAUCAUAUAUAUUGUAAUGGCUAACAAAUUUUCACAUAAAUUUUUUAUAAGAUAAAGUAGAAUGGAAUUAUUCAAUUUCAAAAAAAAAAAAAAUGGUACCUAAUGAAAAAGAUAAAAUAUAUAGAUCAUCUCGAAGAAAUCAGGAAAGAUAAAUGAUGAGACCAUAUAUAGGACCCUUGAUGGAGACUAUUUUAAUUGAAGUGGUGUGCUCCUUCCGACUCAGAACAUGUUCAGCAUUGCACACAAACUAACAUCGUCGAUCUUGAGUAUGAAAAAGGUGAUUAGAUUCCAAGGUUGUCGUUUGUCCCAACUCCUCAUAUUAGAGGUGAUGCUCAAGCUAACGUGCCUCGCAGUUGAGCCCCGGCCAAUCGGUCUAAUAUGCUUUUCCAAUGGUGAGUUUCACUGCCACCAUGUAUUACAUUAAUUCCGAUAGCGCACAAGUUGUGUUUGUGCUAUUGCUUUUUGCCCUCACAAACAUAUACACAAGAGACAUUCAGACCAGAUCUGUUCUACCAUCCUCUAGGAAAGCAUUGUAGGUCAUUUGAAAUUGGGAUUUCAGCACCAGAGUCAAAUUGCCUUCCUUCCUGAAAGAUGAGCAUUUUUUAUACUCUUACAUCGGCUUUUAUGGAAAUGAAAUCAGCUUCUCAUUCUGUUACAUUUUUCAAUUUUGCUGCCUAUAACUGCUCACUGCCUGUUUGUGAGACAUUAUCCAGAUUUUCCCUGAUCAAUUAUAGAGAGGUCAUUGGACUCAUCCAUGAUUGGAAUUUCCUGUUAUCAUUAUUUGCAAAUCAUCAACCAUUUGUCAUGAUAUCUUAAGUUAAGCUGAGCACGAAUUUCAGCUAAGAUCCUCAGAACUAGAAAUAUGCACUGCAGGUAUUACUUGAUAUGUGAAUAUCCAAUACAAUAUUUUUUUACUAAGAGGAAUACGAAUUUGAAACACUUUCCAAUAAUUUAUCAAGUCAUAUUUUCGUGCUGUCGUGAUACAUGUGUCUACUGUAUGCAUGGCUUUUCUUUUCUACACAUGCCUUUAUCUUUGCACAUGACUCUUUUGAUACACGCCAGCAUCAAGGCAAUUGCCUAAAUCUAAAUCACAUCCUUUGUGUCACGUCUUCCUUGUUACCACGGUCCUCUUGUACACCAUGGUCCCUUAAUGUAACUUGUGCCACAAGCCCUUUGUGCAUGAAUUCAAAUUGUUCAAUCAUUUCGCCAUUUACACCUUUUAAGGUCCAAUAAGCGUAUACAAGAGACUACACUCAUUCUAGAUGAUAAAGUACAUUCAACUAACUACUCUUGCUAAUGAGCAUAUCCAAGUCAAUACAUAAGAUUAAUUAUUACAUAUGGUAAUUGAAACCCUGUUUAAAUAAAUAGUGACACAAAUAUAAAAAAUAUAUAUAUUUAAAAAUAAAUAAAUAACAAUUUAGAGAAUUUCAUAACUUAGUAUCAAACCUAUUGUAGGAAAGAGUAUUAUACAAUGUAGGGUUUAGGAUCAAAGUUAACCUAAGAUCAAUUUUAAGUUUUAAGACCAAUUCAAAUUCAAAACUAAGGUUUUAAGUUUCAAAAAUAUAUCUCUUAAACCAAUUAAAUAGAAAAAAGAAAAUUACAAAGAAAAUUUCUUCCUCAUCGGUUUCUUUUAUCUUGAAAACUAAAGGAAAUAUAUAUCAAUAUUUGAGAUGGAAAUUCAUAAUCUUAGAAACACAAAGAACAAAGAGAGUAUGAAGAGACCAUACCAUGAGAGAUUUUCCAAAAGGUUGGUAAACCAUGGUAAUCACCUUUGAGUUUUGCUGAGAAAAACAAACCUUAAUUUUUAUUUUUAUUUUUUUAUCAUUUUUUCUCUUGUGGUGUACAUUUAAGAAAAACAAAUCUUAAAAAAAAAAAAAAAAAAACCAAAUAAUGCCAGAAUUUGGGUUGAGAAACACCCAAAAGAUAGUGGCCCAAUACAUGUGCCUAAGAAAAUCUUCAUGAGCCGAUAAACAUAGUCACAAAACUAGUAACAGCCUUGUAGCCAUAGUUGGUGUAGUAUGAGCAAGUGGGGUAUGAAGUAGGUAGGUGAGUAUUGCAAUGAAAUUUCCAGCACUGCUUCCUGAAUUAAGAAAUCACAUACCCAAGUCUUAGUCGUCGUCGUCGUACCGUGUGAGAACCGGGAAGAAUCUUUGCUCGUAGAGUGGCUUUUGUAGUCUUUCUUUAACAAUUACAAGUUAUCUGAAUUCCCUUCAUCCUCCUAUAUAAUAUUGUUUUUGGUCUUGUUCUUGUUGCAUUGUGGCUAGGCAUCUCCAUGGAAGGAAGGAGGAUGAAUCAAGUUCCUUUGUAUGAAUCAAUUUCUCUGCUCUUUUUCUUUUCAAUCCGUGAAUCGAAUCAUUGCUUAGUUCUUGCUUUAAUUUCUCCAUUUUCUGUUGGGUCUUUGACUGCAGGUUUAGCUCUGCAAGAGAACUGGGAAAUUUAAUGGUGACCUCCAAUCUAAUCGACUCUGCUUUGACUAAAAUUCUUGAGCUUCAAAGAGACCAAACAGCCUUGCUUUCCUCCGUUCAAUACAGAGUUUUUUAUCCAUCUCCCAAGUGCACAAUUGUAGCUUUUGUCUCUUCACCUGACUGCACUCAAAACCCUCUUCCUGGACAAGGAGAUUUAGUUCCGUCUCCUCUCUUUGACUUCCUCUGCACCGAAGAAUACAAGUCCGUCUCCAUUAACAGAGCUGCAUUAACCCUCUUUACCUCUUUCCACGAUCAUCUCUCUGGACUAAAAACUCAGGUCAAAAUAUGAUAGUUGUUUUUAUUUUCGUUUCCUUUUUGUUAACAAUUGUGAGACAUGAAACAGCUUGACCAUGAGAUCUCUCUCAUAGAGUCAAACUACCUGAAGAAGAAGAAGACGUUACACAUAUCCAUCUGCGUUGCAUCAUCGCAUUACCCAUUGAUCGGUUGUGAUUCAACUCUUAAUAGGAAGACAGUAGAACUGGUGUUGGUAUCUGUUUUUAGAUCAGCUUAUAUGUAUCUUGUUUCUAAAAAAGGUAAGUUUAGAAGUGAGAUUAAUGGGAUUAUUCUGACAUGGAUUCCAUAUGGUUACCUGUUUUGCAGUUGACUCAGAUUGAAGGUCAAUUAAUCAUCACUGGGCACUCCCUGGGAGGAUCCGUUGCUUCUCUCUUCACCUUAUGCCUGCUAGAUGGAAAUUUAUUAAAACCCAACUGCCGCCCCUUUUGUAUCACCUUUGGUUCACCCCUCAUCGGCGGCUUUGGCCUCCAACACUCCAUAUGGAAUUCUUUCUUCCUGCAUGUAGUGUCUAACCAAGACCCAGUCCCCGGUCUCUUCCUCCCAUCUGGCAGAGGCAGAUCUACGCCCACAUCCUCCCAUUCACAAACUACCGGUUACAAGCCCUUUGGGACAUAUCUCUUGUGCUCUGAACUUGGUUGUGCUUGUUUGGAAAAGCCUGAUUUAAUUUUGGGAUUGCUGAAAGUCAGAUCAUCCGAGGUUGCCGGAGGAUUGCAGGAUGUUGAUUAUGGGGAGAUUUUAAGAAACCUCAAGGAGAGGGCAAUCUGCAAGGGACUUCAGCAGGUGGGUGAAAGGUUUGCAGAUCCUUUUACAGCUGGGAUCAUCAUGGACCUUGAGAUAAUUGGAUUUGAUCAAACAAAGGUAAACAGCUAGCUUUCUCCCAUCUAAUGAUGUUAUGAAACAUGGUUUACACUUCACCAAAUACUGCAACAACUGCCCUAUUUAGAUUUGCCGUCUUGUUCUUUGGGAUCUUCCAUAACUAGACUCAUUUUUUAAUUUCAUGGCAGCUGCUGCAGCAUAACAUUGAUAUCGAGACUGUGAUAAGCACAAUGGAAGAGGAAGCCAGAAACCCAACCAAAAAAAAUAAAGCUUUCGAUGCCAAGAUUCUGAAUCACAAAAAAAAAGACAUGGCCGGGCUAGAAUGGUAUAAGAAGAAAUCAAAAGAUCUGAACAAGGGUUACUACGACUGCUUCAAAAACCAGGGGUCAAAAAGGGACAUUAAAAUUGAACAGUAUGGGGGACACCUCACAUUAUACUGGAAAGACAUGGUUGCACAAGUACAGAGGAAGCCCCAGAAGGAAGGAGCAACAUUUCGAACCCGUUGGCUCUAUGCAGGGACGGUUUAUAGAAGAAUGGUUGAACCACUGGACAUUGCUGCCUUCUACGUAGAGGGUGGAACAGACUACAUGAAGAAUGAAAGAUCUCUUCAUUACAAGCUGUUGCAGCAAUGGUAUGAGGAAGAUGUGAAACCCCCCUCUAAGGAUAAGCUUGAUUCCAAGAAGCAAAAGGUGUCUGGUAUCCUAACUGAGGAUUCUUGCUUUUGGGCACAUGUGGAGGAGGCUAUCUUGUCAUGCGAAUUGCUUAAGAGUGAAAACUGUACUCUUGAGCAGGAAAAAUCAUCAUGGGAUAAUCUGGUUAAGUUCGAGGAGUAUGUAAUGGAACAGAUUAACAACUAUGCAGUGUCCCCUGAGAUUUUCUUGGGGGAAAGCAGCUUCAUGAAAUGGUGGGGACUGUAUGAGGGCUACAUAUAUGCUCGCAGUAAUUCCCAUAGGUCACCAUUGAUCAGCUUUAUGAAGAACGGUAGUUAUACAGAGUAUCGUUAGAGGGGUAAUCCAGUUUGUGUGUUGUGUGUAUUGUUUUGUGAGCAUUCAAUGGAUAGAACUAGAAAGAGUGUGACCUUUUUCCUUUUUUUCUUCUAGUUGCUGCCCAUAUUCUCAGCACUAUUUUCUUCCUUCUUUUCCUCAGUUUUUUCUUAAGAAAUGAAUAUUAUGAUGUUGCUGGGAUGCACUUUCAUUUUUGUUCCAUUACAUUGUGUUUUAUUCAUAUCCUAAACAAAUAAAUGUAAACAAGAAAAUCAAAUAAGACUUCAAAGAGUCUGUUCCUUUUAAAGCAAGGGAAAAAAAGGACAUGUUUGUUUACUUCCACAGCUGGGUAGAUUCAACUCCACCAAAAUUGGCAACAACUUCCCAUUGAAAAAUUCCUUCUAAGCUUGAAUGACAUAAAACUAGAUAUGUUCCAGCUAGAAUGGUACAAAAAAGAAAUCAAAAGAUGAGCACAAUGGGUUAUUAUGACAGCUUUAGAAACCAUCUUACAACACAUCCAUCAGAAUUUAGACUAUUCAUAGAAACAUUCUUAACAUGUAAAUCUACUAUUGCCAUGCACGUCAACAUAGAAUUUCUAAAAUGAUUGAAUAAAAUAAAUAAAACAAAAGAAACCCUUCCAAGAGAAUUUCAUAAUCUAAUGUCAAAUCUAUUACGAAGAUGAACAUGUAAAAUUUAAGGUUUAUAAUCAAAGUCGACUUGAAUCUGAGUUUUAAAACCAAUUUGCAGUUUUUAAGUUUGGAGACUAGAUCUCUUAAACCAAUUAAAUGUAAAAAACUAAAAAGAAAACUUCUUCAAAUUUUGAAAUGAGAAUGAGAAUGCAAUUCCUAACUAGUUUCUUCAUCAAAAAUCCCGAAAAAAAAAAAAAAAGAAGAGAGAGAGAGACCAUAGACGCCAGUGUUUGGGUUUAGAACCACCCAAGAGAGAGUAGUCCAAUAUAUGGGCUUAAGAAAAUCCUCAUGGGCCUAAGCUAAGACUAGGAACAAUCUUGUAUCCGUGGUUGGUUUAGUAUGAGCAUGUGUACUGCGAAGGAAGUAGCUGAGAAUUGCAAUGGAAUUUCCAGUACUGCUUCCUGAACGAACAAAUCGCAUACCCAAGAUUUGGUCGUCAACGCCAUGCUGGGUGAGAACCGGGGAAGCAUCUUCGCUCGUUGACGAGCUUUUGUAGUCCUUCUUUAACAAUUAUAAGGCAUCUGAAUUCCCUUCAUCCUCCCACACCAUUGUUUUUGGUCUUGUUCUUGUUGCUUUGUGACUACGCAUCUCCAUGGAAGGAAGGAGGAUGAACCAAGUUCCUUUGUAUGCAUCAAUUUUACUGUUUUUUUUUUCCUUUUUAAUCUUUGGAUCGAAUCAUUGCUUAGUUCUUGCUUAAUUUCUCCAUUUUAUGUUGGGUCUUUGAUUGCAGGUUUAGCUCUGCGCGAGAACUGGGAAAUUUAAUUGUGACCUCCAAUCUAAUCGACUCUGCUUUGACUAAAAUUCUUGAGCUUCAAAGAGACCAAACAGCCUUGCCUUCCCCCGUUCAAUACAGAGUUUUUUAUCCAUCUCCCAAGUGCACAAUUGUAGCUUUUGUCUCUUCACCUGACUGCACUCAAAACCCUCUUCCUGGACAAGGAGAUUUAGUUCCCUCUCCUCUCUUUGACUUCCUCUGCACCGAAGAAUACCCUUCCGUCUCCAUUAACGGAGCCGCAUUAACCCUCUUUACCUCUCUCUACGAUCAUCUCUCUGGACUAAUAGAUGAGGUCAAAAUCUGAUACUUGUUUUAAUUUACGUUAACUUUUCGUUAACAAUUGUGAGACACGUAUAUAUAUAUAUAUAUAUAUAUAUCUUGUGGAUAAAAGGAAAGUUUACAAGUGAGAAUAGUGGCAUUUUUCUGACAGAUUUCACACCGUUGCUUGUUUUGCACUUGACUGUGAUUGAAGGUCGAUUAAUCAUCACUGGGCACUCGAUGGGAGGAUCCGUUGCUUCUCUCUUCACCUUAUGCCUGCUAGAAGUCAUUAAUAUAUCAAAACCCAAAUGCCGCCCCAUUUGCAUCACAUUUGGUUCACCCCUCAUAGGCGACUUUGGCUUCCAACACUCCAAUUGGAAUUCUUUCUUCUUGCAUGUAGUGUCCAACCAAGAUCUAGUCCCCGGACUCUUCCUCCCAUCCGGCAGAUCUCCUCCCACAUCCUCCCAUUCACAAACUACUGGUUACAAGCCCUUUGGGACAUAUCUCUUGUGCUCUGAACUUGGUUGUGCUUGUUUUGACAACCCUGAUUUAAUUUUGGAAUUGCUGAAAGUCAUAUCAUCAGAGGUUGCCGGAGGAUUGCGGGAUGUUGAUUACAGGAAGAUUUUAAUAAACCUCAAGGAGAGGGCAAUCUUCAAGGGACUUCAGCAGGUGGGUGAAAGGUUUGCAGAUCCCUUGUCAGCUGGGAUCAUCAUGGACCUUGAGAUAAUUGGAUUUGAUCAAACAAAGGUAAACAGCUUUCUCCCAAUUAAUGAUGUAGCAUGGUUUACACUCAACUUCACCAAAACCUGCAACAACUGCCCUAUUUAGAUUUGCCUUCCGGUUCUUUGGGUUCUUCUAUAACUUCUCAUUUUUUAAAUCCAUGGCAGCUGUUGCGGCACAACAUUGAUAUCAACACUGUGAUAAGGAUACUGGGAGCGGAAGCCAGAAUCCUAGCCCACAAAAAUAAAGCUUCUGAUGCCAAGAAACUGAAUGACAUAAAAAUACACAUGGCCCAGCUAGAAUGGUAUAAGAAGAAAUCAAAAGAUCUGAACAAGGGUUACUACGACUGCUUCAAAAACCAGGGGUUAAAAAGGGACAUUAAAAUUGAACAGUAUAGGGGACACCUCACAAUAUACUGGAAAGACAUGGUUGCACAAGUACAGAGGAAGCCCCAGAAGGAAGGAGCAUCAUUUCGAACCAGUUGGCUCUAUCCAGGGACAACUUAUAGAAGAAUGGUUGAACCACUGGACAUUGCUGCCUUCUACAGAGAGGGUAGAACAGACUACAUAAACAAUGGAAGAUCUCCUCAUUACAAGCUGUUGCAGCAAUGGUAUGAGGAAGAUGUGAAGCCCCCAUCCAGAGAUAAGCUCGAUUCCAAGAAACUAAAGGUGUCUGGUAUCCUAACUGAGGAUUCUUUGUUUUGGGCACAUGUGGAGGAGGCUCUCUUGUCAUGCGAAUCGCUCAAGAGUGCAAACUCUACUCUUGAGCAGAGAAAAUCAUCAUGGGAUAAUCUGGUUAAGUUUGGGGAGUAUGUAAUGGAACAGAUUGGAAACUAUGCAGUGUCCCCUGAGAUUUUCUUGGGGGAAAGCAGCUUCAUGAAAUGGUGGGGAGUGUAUGAGGACUACAUAGAUGCUUCCAAUAAUUUCUAUGGGUCACCAUUGAUCAACUUUAUGAAGGACCGUAGUUAUAGACUGUAUGGUUAGAGGGCAAUCCAGUUUGUGUAUUGUGUUUAUUGUAUUGUGAGCAUUCAAUAGAUAAAACUAGAAAGAGCGUGACCUUUUUAUGACAACUUUAGAAACCAGGGGUUAAAAGAGACAUUACAAAUUGAAUUUUUUGAGAGGAAACCUCAAGAGUAUACUGGGAAGCCAUGGUGGAACAAGUAGAGAGGAAGCUUCGGAAGGAAGGAUCAAUGGUUGAACCACUUGACAUUGUUGCCUACUUCAGGGAGGGUGUAAGAAACAACAUAACCGAGGGAAGAUCUGAACAUUAAACAUUGUACAAUUAUUGUAAAUGUCUUAUACAUUACGUGUGAAAAUACCAAAAAAAAUUAUAUUCAACAUUUAUGUUUGUAUACAAGCAAUAUUUUGGAUAGUUUGAUAUAAAAAACAAAUGAAGAAAACGAAGAAAAACAUACAAAUAUAUUUACAAUGGACAAACUUAUACAAUUAGUGUAAAUGUCUUGUAUAUUUAGUACAAAAGUCUCGUACUUUGUAAAAAUAUAAAAAUAUAGUAUUUGACUUUUAUAUAUGUGUGAAAAUGUAAAAGGAAAAAGAAAAAUAGUUAGAGCAUUUGGUACCGUGAGUGAUGACUUCACCUAAAGAAAGGUUAAUGAAUAUUAUGGUCUCGAUGGAAGAGCGACUCCGGUAAAAUAUAUGGAUUAAAUUGAUGCUUUUCUUUUGACGAUGAAGUAGUUGAGUUAUGAAUACGAGGUUUUGCUAACAACAUUGAAGGCAAGGAUUCCCUAAUAUACUCCAAUUCAUAUUCAAUUUGUAGACCUUCAACUAACUACUCUUGCUAAUGAGCAUAUCCAAGUGAAUACAUAAGAUUAAUUAUUACAUAUGAUAAUUGAAACCCUGUUUAAAUAAAUAGUGACACAAAUAUAAAAAAUAUAUAUAUUUAAAAAUAAAUAAAUAAUAAUUUAGAGAAUUUCAUAACUUAGCAUCAAACCUAUUGUAGGAAAGAGUAUUAUACAAUGUAGGGUUUAGGAUCAAAGUUAACCUAAGAUCAAAUUUAAGUCUUAAGACCAAUUCACAUUCAAAACUAAGGUUUUAAAUUUCAAAAAUAUAUCUCUUAAACCAAUUAAAUGGAAAAAAGAAAAUUACAAAGAAAAUUUCUUCCUCAUCGGUUUCUUUUAUCUUGAAAACUAAAGGAAAUAUAUAUCAAUAUUUGAGAUGGAAAUUCAUAAUCUUAGAAACACAAAGAACAAAGAGAGUAUGAAGAGACCAUACCAUGAGAGAUUUUCCAAAAGGUUGGUAAACCAUGGUAAUCACCUUUGAGUUUUGCUGAGAAAAACAAACCUUAAUUUUUAUUUUUAUUUUUUUAUCAUUUUUUCUCUUGUGGUGUACAUUUAAGAAAAACAAAUCUUAAAAAAAAAAAAAAAAAAACCAAAUAAUGCCAGAAUUUGGGUUGAGAAACACCCAAAAGAUAGUGGCCCAAUACAUGUGCCUAAGAAAAUCUUCAUGAGCCGAUAAACAUAGUCACAAAACUAGGAACAGCCUUGUAGCCAUAGUUGGUGUAGUAUGAGCAAGUGGGGUAUGAAGUAGGUAGGUGAGUAUUGCAAUGAAAUUUCCAGCACUGCUUCCUGAAUUAAGAAAUCACAUACUCAAGUCUUAAUCGUUGUCAUCAUACCGUGUGAGAACCGAGGAAGAAUCUUUGCUCUUAGACUGGAUUUUGUAGUCUUUCUUUAACAAUUACAAGUUAUCUGAAUUCCCUUCAUCCUCCUAUAUAAUAUUGUUUUUGGUCUUGUUCUUGUUGCAUUGUGGCUAGGCAUCUCCAUGGGAGGAAGGAGGAUGAAUCAAGUUCCUUUGUAUGAAUCAAUUUCUCUGCUCUUUUUUUUUUCAAUCCUUGAAUCGAAUCAUUGCUUAGUUCUUGCUUUAAUUUCUCCAUUUUCUGUUGGGUCUUUGAUUGCAGGUUUAGCUCUGCAAGAAAACUGGGAAAUUUAAUUGUGACCUCCAAUCUAAUCGACUCUGCUUUGACUAAAAUUCUUGAGCUUCAAAGAGACCAAACAGCCUUGCCUUCCCCCGUUCAAUACAGAGUUUUUUAUCCAUCUCCCAAGUGCACAAUUGUAGCUUUUGUCUCUUCACCUGACUGCACUCAAAACCCUCUUCCUGGACAAGGAGAUUUAGUUCCCUCUCCUCUCUUUGACUUCCUCUGCACCGAAGAAUACAAGUCCGUCUCCAUUAACAGAGCUGCAUUAACCCUCUUUACCUCUCUCCACGAUCAUCUCUCUGGACUAAAAACUCAGGUCAAAAUAUGAUAGUUGUUUUUAUUUUCGUUUCCUUUUUGUUAACAAUUGUGAGACAUGAAACAGCUUGACCAUGAGAUCUCUCUCAUAGAGUCAAACUACCUGAAGAAGAAGAAGACGUUACACAUAUCCAUCUGCGCUGCAUCAUCGCAUUACCCAUUGAUCGGUUGUGAUUCAACUCUUAAUAGGAAGACAGUAGAACUGGUGUUGGUAUCUGUUUUUAGAUCAGCUUAUAUGUAUCUUGUUGCUAAAAAGGGAAAGUUUAGAAGUGAGAUUAAUGGGAUUAUUCUGACAUGGAUUUCAUAUGGUUACCUGUUUUGCAGUUGACUGUGAUUGAAGGUCGAUUAAUCAUCACUGGGUACUCGAUGGGAGGAUCCGUUGCUUCUCUCUUCACCUUAUGCCUGUUAGAAGUCAUCAAUUUAUCAAAACCCAAAUGCCGCCCCAUUUGUAUCACCUUUGGUUCACCCCUCAUAGGCGACUUUGGCCUCCAACACUCCAAUUGGAAUUCUUUCUUCUUGCAUGUAGUGUCCAACCAAGAUCUAGUCCCCGGACUCUUCCUCCCAUCCGA